UCAAACCUUGGAGCCUAGCUUCACGAUUUAGCCACAUGGUGUGGGUUUUUUUUGUGUUUGAACUGAAGCUGGGCUUCAGUUUCGGCAAGUAUUUGAGGCUGGGGAUUGGGUUGGGCCUCCCCGGAGGGUUUCGGCAAGGUGUUGAAGUGUGAGAAGAGACUUGAGGACUUGGGCUCUUGGGAAUCCUUGUAGCCGGCCCAAUCAAAAGGUUGUCAAGUUUUGGGUUGUGGCAAGGAUUGGAGCUUGGGCUUUCUUCGGCAUAGAGGGUCUCUUGGAUUUCGGUACAAGGAAUUUGGGAGGGAAGAUGAAAAGGACCUAGGGUUUUCUCGUGAACCGAGGCAUUGGUACCCUUGAGCCUUUAUAAAUAGGAACUAAGGUGACGAAGGCAUCAUACUUGAGUUGUGGAGAAAAUUUUCUAGAAAGUGAGAAGGAGAAAAAGAGAUUUCCGGCGAGAUUUUGGUGGUGGUGCUUGCGGCCAAGGUGAUUUCCGGUGUCUUAUUCAUGGUGGUGCAAACAAAGUUAGACCUCAUUUCCCUUGAAUUUUUGAAUCGAAAUGUUCUUUUUUGUAUGAACAUGUUGAAGACUAGGAUGAACACCUUGAAUAUGAGCAUGAACCCGAUGAACACUUUGAACAUUGA